CAUACACAUUAGCAUAAUUUAGUUGAUUUCAUUGACCAGUAUCUCCCAUUUUCCUCCCACCAUCCUUUCCCUGAUUCCUAUCUUUUAUUCUACUAGUAUCCUUUCUAUUUUCGUAAAAUCGUGUAUUUCCUCCUCUUUUCUUCUAAAUUCAACAUGUAAAAGAAACAUAUAACCAGUGACCUUCUGAGUCUGACUUAUUUCACUUACCAUCAUGUUCUCCAGUUUCAUCCAUUUUUCCUGCAAAUGACAUAGUUUCAUUUUUCUUUAUGACUGAAUAAAACUUCAUUGGGUAAAUAGAACACAUUUUUAUCCAUUCAUCCAUUGACAGAUAUCUAGGCUGAUACCAUAACAUGUCUCUUGUGGACUGUUCUGCUUAAACAUGGGUAUGCAGGCAUCACUAUAGUAUGCUGACUUCCAUUCUUUAAGAAAAAUACUGAGCACUGGUAAAGCAGGGUCAUAUGGUACAUUCCAUUUCUAGUCUUUUGAGGGAUUUCCAUACUGAUUUCCACAAUGAUUGCAUUAAUUUGUAGCUGCAACAACAGUGUUCCUUUGCCCCACAUUCUUGCCAGCAUUUAUUAUUAUUUGUUUUCUUGAUGGUUGCCAAUAUAACUGGAGUAAAAUGAAAUUUCAGUGUAGUUUUGAUUUGCAACCUCUGAUUACUAAGGAUGUUGAACAUCUUUUUUUUUCAUCUAUUUGUUGGCCAUUUGUGUUUCUUCUCUUCAGAAAUGUCCAUUUGGUUCAUUUUCCCAUUUAUUGAUUAGAUAAUUUAUGAGGAGGGUUGGUGGCAAGUUUUUUUUUUUUUUUAUUUCUUCAUACAUUCUGGAUAUUAAUCCUCUGUUGGAAGAGUAUCUGGUAAAGAUUUUUCUCCCAUCAUAAAUUUUUCAUUGAAGAUCUGCUACUCAUAUUUUCUGAGCUUCAUGAGUAAAUGACUACAAGAUCCUGGCAAUUCAUAUUAUGGUGAUAUCUCUGACUAAGACAUAAUAAGCUAUAUAGUUUGAGCUAAUGCCAUCAGUUUCAGAAGAUGCAGCUGCAUUUCAUGUCCCUGAUGGAUGAUUUUUUUUCCUUCAGAAUUAGACUAGCACCAACUACUACCAUAUGUUGAAGACAAAGCUCAACAAUCUUAGACUCUUCUCCUUUACAUGUUUUUCAUACACUUUUUAUCUAAAGCUCAAGCUCUGGAUUUUCUUUUCUUAAGACAAGAUGCCAGAAAGAAAUAUUUUGUGUUCUCCAUUGCUAAGCAGUAGCACAUAAUGCGAACACAAAUUCCAUUCUACUUUCUAGUACCAAAGAAAGAAGGAAAACAUAGCUUUGGCCAAUAACAGCAAAGAAGUUGAACUGCAUCCUGAGAGGACAGGAAGGAUAAACAUGGCACUCUAUUGUUCUAAGCAGCUCUAUUAUGGGAAGGAUGCUAAUUCCUCUCAGACAGACUAGAAAUAGGAAUGUGUGGGUGGUGAAAAAGCCUCCUCAUAUGAAGCCAGGAUAAAAUCCAUUUCCCUUAGUUUCUAUUUUGGGAGAAAAAAGUCAAGAGGUUGAUGAGCAAUGCAGAGCAAGUUAAAUCAUAUUUUCCUUUUUAUUUAUAUCCAUCCAUCCAUUCGUACAUUCCUUCUUUUGUGUUCAUAGGUGAUUAUUAAACAUGUACCAGCAAUGUGUUUGCCUCCAGGACACUAAAAUAAGGGAAGCAUAGUAUAGCCAUUAAUAAAUUGAAAUGUAGUUGGGAGAUGGUCACCUAUACAGAAUAUUAUAAUACAAGCUUUCUGAAGAACAUGCUCCCUGAUCUUUUUAAUUUAAUAAUUUGUUUUAAUUUAAUUCUCGACAUAAAUUUAGUUGACUAGAUAAUUCCACUUCACAUUGGUAAAAUUUGCUCUUUACCCAUACACACCUAGCCAUACUAAUUUUUACAUGAGUGCAAGUUAAGUUUUGAGGGAGAAAGUUAAGAUGGUGUACAAAUGGGAAUGGUAUUAUGUCACGUACAGGAAUUUGCAUGAGCAAAGGCUUGAGGGAACAAAUGUGCGUUAAGCAGAUUGCAAACUGUUUUGCAUGAAAGGAAUGAAGAGCAAAUUGAGAAGGUGACCAUGUAAUUUAUCUUCCCAAAUGAUACAUUUUUGAGAGUGAAAUGGAAUGUAAAUAUAAUCUAAAUUAUGUCAUUUAAAAUGUUGACAUAUUUACUUAAAAUAAUUAUUAUUGUUGGCUAAAUAAAAUUCCAAUGUGUAUACAUGACACAUUUUUUUCUUCAGUCUCCAUUGAUGGAGUUUAUUCAGUCAUAAAUAAAAAUGAAAUUAUGUCAUUUGCAGGAAAAUGGAUGGAACUUGAGACCAUUAUGUUAAGUGAAAAAAUACAAACUCAGUAGGUCAAGGUUGUAUGUUUAUUCUCCUAUGUGGAAGCUAGAGGGGAAAAAAGAAAACAAAGAUGGGGGAGAGGACCUCAGGAAAAUAGAAGGGAGAUCAGUUGAGUAGAGGAAAAAGACCAGGAGGAGGUAACAGGGAAGGAAAAGGAGAAAUACUGGGGAAUGAUAUUGACCAAAAUAUAUUGUUAUAUUAUGUGCAUGUAUGAAUAUGUAAU
rnacentral:lncRNA from 1 species